GUAGGUGGCAAGCGUUGUCCGGAAUUAUUGGGCGUAAAGCGCGCGCAGGCGGGUCCUUUAAGUCUGAUGUGAAAGCCCACGGGCUCAACCGUGGAGGGUCAUUGGAAACUGGGGGACUUGAGUACAGAAGAGGAAAGCGGAAUUCCAAGUGUGGCGGCGAAAUGCGUAGAGAUUUGGAGGAACACCAGUGGCGAAGGCGGCUUUCUGGUCUGUAACUGACGCUGAGGCGCGAAAGCGUGGGGAGCAAACAGGAUUAGAUACCCUGGUAGUCCACGCCGUAAACGAUGAGUGCUAAGUGUUAGGGGGUUUCCGCCCCUUAGUGCUGCAGCUAACGCAUUAAGCACUCCGCCUGGGGAGUACGGCCGCAAAGGCUG
rnacentral:rRNA from 1 species